UACAGAGGGUGCAAGCGUUGUUCGGAAUCAUUGGGCGUAAAGGGCGUGUAGGCGGUUUGUUAAGUCAUGUGUGAAAUCCCUCGGCUCAACCGGGGAACGACGCAUGAAACUGGCAAGCUAGAGUACCAAAGAGGGGGGUGGAAUUCCCGGUGUAGCGGUGAAAUGCGCAGAUAUCGGGAGGAACACCUGUGGCGAAGGCGGCCCACUGGUCCGGUACUGACGCUGAGGUGCGAAAGCGUGGGGAGCAAACAGG
rnacentral:rRNA from 1 species